UGGGGAAUAUUGCACAAUGGGCGCAAGCCUGAUGCAGCCAUGCCGCGUGUAUGAAGAAGGCCUUCGGGUUGUAAAGUACUUUCAGCGGGGAGGAAGGCGAUAAGGUUAAUAACCUUGUCGAUUGACGUCACCCGCAGAAGAAGCACCGGCUAACUCCGUGCCAGCAGCCGCGGUAAUACGGAGGGUGCAAGCGUUAAUCGGAAUUACUGGGCGUAAAGCGCACGCAGGCGGUCUGUCAAGUCGGAUGUGAAAUCCCCGGGCUCAACCUGGGAACUGCAUUCGAAACUGGCAGGCUAGAGUCUUGUAGAGGGGGGUAGAAUUCCAGGUGUAGCGGUGAAAUGCGUAGAGAUCUGGAGGAAUACCGGUGGCGAAGGCGGCCCCCUGGACAAAGACUGACGCUCAGGUGCGAAAGCGUGGGGAGCAAACA
rnacentral:rRNA from 1 species